CUUGCAAAGGCGCUCCUGGCUCAAGGAAGCUCCGUUGGCCUGCUUCCCCAGCCUGGGAACAAGGACUCUUUGAGUAGAGCUGUGCCCCCCACUGGGAAGUGAGAGCCUAUCUCGGUUCCUCAUUUCGAGGCACACCCAAAUUCCCAAGGCAGUUACAAGCCUCAAGUUGCUCAACUGCAUCAGGGAAAGCCUGGGCCAUCACCGCUUAUCGCGGAGUGGCUGAACCCAAACUUUGGUGACCAGAGUCUGGCCUGUCUGGCCUCGGAGCUGUCAGGAACACACUGUCUGUGUCCCACAGCCCACACGGGGAGGAAGGAGCUGUGAUUCUGAUGGCCAAGGGACAGCUGCUCUCUAUUCGUCAUUGUCAACCUCUGAUGCCUUUGGGGACUAAGUCUGAAGGACAGUUUUGACUGUUGUCAUCAAACAAGCUGAAGGAAGCCAAGGACAGCCCCUCUGCUCCCCCGCCCCCCCCCUUUACUCCGGGACUUUUUUUUCCCCCCUCAGUCAGGAGAAGCCAUUUCAGUAAACAAGACCAAAUGGACCUCCCUCCCCCUCCCCCACACCACACCCUGUCCUUCGGGCUGGAAUGAAAUGAGCCAGCAAGAAACGUCUCAAGUCUACCUAGGCUUGUUUCAGCAUCCUUUGAGGGACACCUGCUUGGGACACCCGUGACCCAAGAUCCAGUGCCCAGUUCUUACCCGCGCCCACACACAUGCAUCCUGUGACGUAAAUGCCUCGGUGGCCUGCUGCCCUCAGAGCAUCGCCCCUCAGGAGCCUUCAGCAACUCCUACUCUGAUCUGGAAGUUGCUGUCUGUGCUUCUUCCCAGGAGCCCACUCUCGAUGGGUGCCCAGCAGCCCUCUUUGUUCUGACCGCUGGCCUGGCCCUGUUCCCAGCAUGCACUGCAGCUGCCGUGGCGGGUGCUACGUCCUUUUUGCCUUACAGGAUUCCCAAGUGAUACAGGCUGAGAGUGGGCACGCUAGGGCAGGUGCUGGAUGUCUCCAUGGGACCGGGAGGAUGCGGGCAGUCCUUGGCUGGGGAACCCUUCCUCCAUCUUCCAGGAGGACUGCAAUCUCCACCUUUCCUCCUUUGGCUUCUUGUCUCCAUUUAAUGAGGGCCUGGAUGACGACAAAGUGGGGUUUAGGGACUGGAGUGCAAAGUGAUCUCUCCAGCUCCAAGUCCCCUUUGCUGUAUAGAGUAAUAACUCCAGGUGCUGGGUCAGCUUCGCCAUUACAAAACCUUGUAUAGGGAAUUCCAGGCCAGCCUGGGCUUACAGUGAGAGCCUGCCUCAAUGGAAAUAAAACAACAAAAUUAACU